GCGAGCUCAAGCGCCACGCUGAAGUUUUUGGCUCGGAGUUCUCUGCGUCUCAUGUGGGUUCCCUGGCGUUGCUCACUGAAGAUUCUCAUACAUACUCCUUGCGGCUCUUGCAGCUCUUGUUUCUUCUUUCAGAGGAUGCUUAAUGCUGGCUAAUAGCGCCUCAGGCAAAAAUAAAACCUUGCCAGAAAAUAGACUCCUGGAGGACGAAAUGAUAACGCACUCCAGUAUUCUUUACCCUGGGAAACCCCACGAAGAGAGGAUCCUGGCGGGUUACAGUGCAAAGGGUCGCAAAGAGUGCGGCAUGACAGAGCCCAGCACAGGAAACAGACGCUUACUUAAAGCUUCACAUGCGUUUUCUUUUUCUCUCCAAAAGUCAUAGCCUUCCUGACUUCUGACCCUGCGGACUGACUCGCUCGCUCUGUCUGUCUGUCUGUUAUGUAAUCGGAACAGUAUAGGCCAGAAGCAAACACCAAGAUGGGAGUAUACAUAUGUGUGCUUUGUCAGGGAAAUGCCGGUGUGGAAACAUCGCAGGGAACCAGAGGAGGCUGGGAGUCUCGGACCUUGACGAAGAGAUGGAAAUACCAGACCACCUGACCUUCCUCUUGAGAGACA